rnacentral:snRNA from 1 species
AUCGCUUCUCGGCCUUUUGGCUAAGAUCAAGUGUAGUAUCAAAGAGAGACUUUAUUUCUCCAUCAAUUUUGAAAGAUAGUUUUGCAGGAUAUAUUGGUCUGGCUUGAAAGUUUUCUUUUAGGACUUGAGGCACUUCACUCCAAGUUCUCCUGGCCUUUA